GGUACCACAGAUGUGAGACACCAAUCAUGGACUGUCAGGAUGGAGUACUACACAGGUCCAGCCUUGUUCCUUGGGAUGCUGAGGUACAUGGUUGCACAUGUCAUCUUCAAGACAGAAAGACAAGAUCCAGCUGUCAGUUUUUCCCAACAAGAAGAGAAGAGUUUAAAGUAAAAACAGUUAUGAAGCAAGAAUGCUAUAGGAAUAAUAAUAAAGAAAGACCAGUCAGAAUGAUGUUCAGACAUGGAUUCCUAAUGAAAUUAAAGAACAGAAGAUUACAAAUUAACAGCAAAUAUCUUACAAAGCAGUGUCCUUAUAACGACUAUGGCUGAAUUUCAAAGAUUGGGUAAUUAUGACCAUUAAUAUACAUUUCAUUUUAGAUGCUGAGAAAAAUUCCUCCUGUCACAAGAAAUGACAGUCCUAAUACCAGAUGAACACACUUGAUAUUUGUGUGCUUAAAAUAUAGCUAUUUUUCAGCAUAUUUUAAAAUAUGCUGUUCAUCAGUGUCAUUAAAGUACUAUCAUAGCUUUGUACUGUACGUAAGGACAGUUUCUAAGGCUAUCCAGUAUAAGAAGAGUUUAUUUUUGUUUACUUCAAUUAAGAUGUUUCUUCUAAAGAGCAACCAAGACAGGGAGACCUACAUAAAAGAGAUGUGUGAAUUAUUUAAGGCUAUUAUACCAAAUUAGGGAUUUUUAAUGUCAGAGAAAUUUUUUGGAUGCUUUGAUUGCAUUCAUCUUAGUCUCUUUUGUAUGCAUUGAAUAUGGAAG
rnacentral:lncRNA from 1 species